rnacentral:lncRNA from 1 species
CUAUUAUAUAAUAUUUUUUAUAAAUAUAUAUAUUUAUAUAUUAUUGUAAAUUAUAUUACAUUUCUUAUAUAAUAUAUUUUUGAAUAUACAAUAUAAGUUUGAAUAUAUUUAAUUUAUAAAUAUAGAUGAUGAUGAUGAUUAUAAUAAUAAUAUAUAAAUAUAAAUUAUAAUUAUAAUAUAUAANCAAGUUAUUGGUGCUAGCAAGUUUUUGGCCAUUGAAUUAAGAGAUGUGCGGUUAGGAUGAUGUGGGUCCCUUAGGGUUGAGUGGGUGGUUGGUUGAAUAGUAUGAUCUAACGGGUGAAAAUGAUCAAAAGGGUAGAUCUAACGGUAAAAAACUUGGUAGAAUCAAGUACUUCGUGCUAUUAAUAGCAUAGUAACCGGACUCUAUAUAUAUAUAUAUAUAAUUAUUUUUCAUUCAAACUU